AUAAUUUUAAGUGUCUCGGAGUCACAUCAGAGAUCAAUAUUAUUUGCCUUCUCAAAAUUAUCGUUGUUUUCACACCAAUUUCCAUCAAAACUUGGAGUUUUCCUGUUGUAUAAUUUAUAAUUCACGCCAUUGCCACCCUCUAUGAAGAACAGAAAAUGAAACAUGAAACCCAUCUCACCAUUUCAGCUAUGAAACUCAAAGCCCUCCAAAACCCAAGUGAGAAACUAGAUCACGCAAUACGCAAAGUCGUCUCACAAACCAAGGUAACAACUUUUUGUGGAAACAAUGAAGAGUUAUCUCUCUCUCUGCAACAUGUACGUAAAUGUACUCACACCACUAAAGAAAGAAAAAUGGACUGCACAAAACCCUAGCUUCUGUCCUUUUAUUUUAAAGAAUGCAAGAACUGUAAGUCUUCAUUUAUUGUGAUGUUUCUAGCUAGCUACUUCCUUUCCCAGAUUUGUCUCCUUCAGUUUUAUGUAGUCUUCUUCUUCUUUCAAGUUUUGCUGCUCCAAUUUAUGGCUUGGCUUCUGUAUAGUAGUUAAGUUUCCAAGCAAUAUUUGACCAAUUUGGACCAGUGUUUUACAAGAAUUUAUCCUUUUGCCGGAGAUGAUAAUAUUUUGCUGCAAAGUGUGUUUGUCUCUCCUAUCUACAACAAUGUUAUAUUUGGUCAUACACUGCAAUAACUCAACUGUCUUCCCAGCAGCUAGUAUGGAUUCAGUGGCAUGGUACACUUGUUUCUGGAUUCAAAAGACCUGCACAUAUCAGAUUGAUUGUAUACAGAGGAGAAAUAGGUUACCAAUAAUGUCCGUUUGUCAUGGAGCAGAAAAGGACUUAAAGCUUAAUGGGGAACUCAGGAAAAGUGAAGCCAGGCCAUGCUAUCAUGACAAUCACCUUCCAUUUCACAUGCCAAGCACAACUUAGAGAUGGUGGGCCUUUCGCGUCACAUCUAGGAACCAUAAUCAUUGGAGGAAAUUAUUCAAAUAAAAAUCUUCCAGGUUAGGUUCAAUAAUUUCCAGGGUAUGUUCUGAAGAUGCAUAUAUUGCAUGAUAUUGUUAAUAUCAACCUUGUAUUAUUGUGGCUGCCGUUUUAUCCCCUUAUGACAGGAAGAAUUUUGAGGUUUGGAAAACAAUCUUCCAUUCUCU